rnacentral:rRNA from 1 species
GACGAACGCUGGCGGCGUGCUUAACACAUGCAAGUCGAACGGACCGCGCCUAGGUUUGUGCGCUGGUUCAGUGGCGAACGGGUGAGUAACACGUAAGUAACCUGCCCCUGCCUCUGGGUUAACUUCAGGAAACUGGGGCUAAUACUGGAUCCGCGCACGAGCUGCAUUGAGAUGGUUGGGAAAGUUCGGCGGUCGGGGAUGGACUCGCGGCUUAUCAGCUUGCUUGUGGGGGAUAGGCUGACCAAGGCAUUGAUGGGUAGCCGGCCUUGGAUGGGGAACGGCCACAUUGGUACUGAGAGACGCCCCAGACGCCUACGGGAGGCAGCAGUGGCGAAUGUUGCACAAUGGGCGGAAGCCUGAUGCAGCGACGUCGCGUGCGGGAUGACGUCCUUCGAGUUGUAAACCGCGUUCAGCUGUGACGAAGCGCGAGUGACGGUAAUGAGUCAAGAAGCAACGGCUAACUACGUG